UACGGAGGGUGCAAGCGUUAUCCGGAUUCACUGGGUUUAAAGGGUGCGUAGGUGGGCAAGUAAGUCAGUGGUGAAAUCUCCGGGCUUAACCCGGAAACUGCCAUUGAUACUAUUUGUCUUGAAUACUGUGGAGGUCAGCGGAAUAUGUCAUGUAGCGGUGAAAUGCUUAGAUAUGACAUAGAACACCAAUUGCGAAGGCAGCUGGCUACACAAAUAUUGACACUGAGGCACGAAAGCGUGGGGGAUCAAAACAGG
rnacentral:rRNA from 1 species